rnacentral:rRNA from 1 species
UAGGGAAUCUUCGGCAAUGGGGGGAACCCUGACCGAGCAACGCCGCGUGAGUGAAGAAGGUUUUCGGAUCGUAAAGCUCUGUUGUUAAGGAAGAACGAGUGUGAGAAUGGAAAGUUCAUACUGUGACGGUACUUAACCAGAAAGGGACGGCUAACUACGUGCCAGCAGCCGCGGUAAUACGUAGGUCCCGAGCGUUGUCCGGAUUUAUUGGGCGUAAAGCGAGCGCAGGCGGUUAGAUAAGUCUGAAGUUAAAGGCAGUGGCUCAACCAUUGUAGGCUUUGGAAACUGUUUAACUUGAGUGCAGAAGGGGAGAGUGGAAUUCCAUGUGUAGCGGUGAAAUGCGUACAUAUAUGGAGGAACUCCGGUGGCGAAAGCGGCUAUCUGGUCUGUAACUGACGCUGAGGCUCGAAAGCGUGGGGAGCGAACAGG